UUGGUAAUUUGAUUAAAUGAUUAGGGCUAUAUUGGUAAAAAAAUACAAAUUGACGGGUUCUUUUUAAACAAAUAGGUUCAAUAAUUGGGGUUCAGAGUGAUUUUGAAUACAUGGUUUAAUAGGGAGGACAUUUUGGUCAUUUCCUAAUUAAAAAAAAUGACCUUGGGCUUUUAUAUGCAUCCCGUGUUUAAUGGUCCAACAUAAAAGGAAUUAGGGAUUUAUCCCCACCGUUUUCAUUUGUUGGUCGAUCAAGGAAAGGAACCGGACAUGAUGGCAGUCACGAAGGAAAGCACAAAGACAGCGGUGCGGCUUUUGGUUUCCUUGCUCGUGGUUGGCCAGAAAUAGGGCUGAGCGAGGUAUCCGGCGAUUGCAGAUCGCGAGGAGGAAGAAGCGUGUCUUCGGGGUCGACGAGACCGAAGGGGAGGAAGCGAGGAGCAGCGAGGCGACUUUGAUCUCGGAGGGGGGUGCAGCAAGGAGCUCCGCGGCUGCUUGCUCCGUUCCAGCAUCGAGGUGCGAAGGGCAAUCAGCGACCACUAGGUUUUUUGGCAGUGGAGCUCGACGAAGAAGAAGAAUGGUGCGAUGGGCGAAAAGGGAAAGAGAUUCAAGGAUUUUCAGAUCGAGGGUUUGGUGUGGCUGUUCUUGGCUGCUCUUCUUCUGGUUCGAUUGGAUGUAAACGCGAUGGAAAUGGGAAACAGUUGGAUUGGAGGGUAAGGACAAAGCAGGCAAGCAGCAACCGGUAAGAGGAUUGUUUUGUUUGGUGUUUGAUUUUUGACUGGGAAGUGAAGGAGUAGAAGGGUGUUGAGUGGGGAAGAAGGUAAACGUGACUGAAGCAACACUUUAGAUGAUCUUUAUUUGAUUGUAAUUGUAUAGAUUGUGGGUUGUAUUUAAUAGUUUAAUUGGUUAAAGGAUGUGUGCAAGCAGUCUUCAAUUUGACAGUCAAAGACUUGCAAGUUACUUGGUUGUCAAAUUCUGUGUAUUUGGUAGUUUAAAAGAAUGAAUUUGGUGGUAUAAUGUUG